UUCGCAAUGCCCGAAAGGGUGACGAAGCGACGCCGCGUGGGUGAGGAAGGCCUUCGGGUUGUAAAGCCCUGUCAGAAGUUAAGAAAUGUAAGUGCGCUAAUAUCGCAUUUAUUUGACGAAGGCUCCAAAGGAAGUCACGGCUAACUCUGUGCCAGCAGCCGCGGUAAUACAGAGGUGGCAAGCGUUGUUCGGAAUUAUUGGGCGUAAAGAGCACGUAGGUGGAUUUGUAAGUCAGAUGUGAAAGCCUUCUGUUCAACGGGAGAAUUGCAUCUGAAACUACAAACCUUGAGUGUAGGAGGGGAGAAUGGAACUUCUGGUGGAGCGGUGAAAUGCGUAGAUAUCAGAAGGAACGCCGGCGGCGAAAGCGAUUCUCUGGCCUAUUACUGACACUCAGUGUGCGAAAGCUAGGGGAGCAAACGGGAUUAGAUACCCCGGUAGUCCUAGCCGUAAACGAUGGGCACUAAGUAGAGGGGUUUU
rnacentral:rRNA from 1 species